CCCAUGACAAUAAAACCCUUGAAUUGAAUUGAAAGCCGUAACGUCAUGCCUCCCUCCCCUCUGUUGAGGUUCAGUAACUAGCAGCAGUCUGACUUCCUGUUGACUUGAGCCUAGUCUUGGCUAGCUAGCUACCGAUCACAUUGGUUUAGAGGCUGACUUCCUGCAUGCCACCCCCGGCAUAAGGCUGCAGUGGUAAAGAUGGACGAGGCCUCUCUCACUGUGAACAAUGAGCUGGACGCUGAAAUGGUUGUGAGCUGGCUAUCAGACCACUGCUAUCAGUGUGUGUACCAGCCCCUGGGUGUG